rnacentral:RNase_P_RNA from 1 species
CCAGCUGGCCGGGUGGCCGCGACCGCGAGAGCCGAAAGGCUGCGGUCGAGGAAAGUCCGGGCUCCAUGGAAACACGGUGCCGGUUAAUUGCCGGCGGGGGCGACCCCAGGGAAAGUGCCACAGAAAGUAAACCGCCCCGCCUUUCGAUCGGCCGCUCGCGGGCCGAUGGAAUGGCGGGGCAAGGGUGAAAGGGUGGGGUAAGAGCCCACCGCGCGACUGGCAACAGGAGCGGCACGGUAAACCCCAUCGGGAGCAAAACCGAAUAGGGAUGACGCGGAGGGCAACCUCCAGGCUGUUUCCGGUCCAGUCAUCCGGGUGGGUUGCAUCAGGCGGGCAGCAAUGUCCGCCGCAGAUGAAUGGCCACCACGUUCC